UUGUAGCCGGUGAAGGAUUUGGCCACGAGAAAAGUAUGAAAAGAAAUUGUCGUGUCACGAACUCCUAGGCAACAUACAUACAUAUUCCAUACGCUUUCCCUCCAUUCAAAUCUUCAUUUUUCUCUCUCCACAGCCAUAGCCAAAACCCUCAAAGUAGCUAUUUUUAGAUACCUCCAAUUCUCCAUACCCUAAAUCAGAUACCUUUUUCCUCCUUAAUUUCCAUCUGGAAAAAGGAGAAAAGGAGAUUUGACAGUUGUUUCAGAGGUGAAGAAGAGUUAAAAAUGGAGAGAGAUUUCAUGGGGUUGACAGUAAAACAGGAGACUCCUGAUGAAACUAUGGAUUCAGGUACUCCAAAUCUUAUUCUAUUUUCUUGAAUUUAUCAUAUUUAAAAAUAUAAUGCUUUAUUAAAAUUCGAGAAAAGCUCUAGUUUAGUUACAUAAUUUGUGCAUUUCUUUUAGAAAAAGAAUCUUGAAAU
rnacentral:lncRNA from 1 species